GACGAACGCUGGCGGCGUGCUUAACACAUGCAAGUCGAACGAAGUGGCGAACGGGUGAGUAACGCGUAAUCAACCUGCCCUUCAGAGGGGGACACCAGUUGGAAACGACUGCUAAUACCGCAUACUGAAGGAGGCGUUUGCGUCUGAUGAGGUAGUUGAAGGGGUAAAGGCCCACCAAGGCGAUGAGCAGUCGACGGUCUGAGAAGAUGAACGGCAACAGUGGGACUGAGACACGGGCCAGACACCUACGGGAGGCAGCAGGGGGGAAUCUUCCGCAAGGGGCGGAAGUCUGACGGAGCAACGCCGCGGGAGUGAUGACGGCCUGCGGGUUGUAAAGCUCUGUUAAUCGGGACGCGGUACCGGAAUAGAAAGCCACGGCUAACUACGUGCCAGCAGCCGCGGUAAUUC
rnacentral:rRNA from 1 species